GACGAACGCUGGCGGCGUGCUUAACACAUGCAAGUCGAACGGACAGGCCCUGCUUUUGCGGGGUGCUCGAGUGGCGAACGGGUGAGUAACACGUGUGUAACCUGCCCUUGAAUUUGGGAUAACUUCAGGAAACUGGGGCUCAUAUCGGAUAGGAGCUCUUGCAGCAUGGUGGGGGUUGGAAAGUUUCGGCGGUUGGGGCUAGACUAGCAGCUUAUCAGCUUGUUGGUGGGGUAGUGGAUUACCAAGUCUUAGACGGGUAGCCGGCCUUGGAAGGUUACCGGCGACCAGGGGACUGAGAGACGGCCCAGACGCCUACGUGACGCAGCAGUGGAAAAUCUGACGCAAUAGGCGGGAGCCUGAUGCGACGGCGCCGCGUGCGGAAUAACGGCCUUCGGGUUGUAAACCACUUUCUCCUGUAACGAAGCGUUAGUGACGGUAACGGGUAAAAAAGCACCGGCUAACUACGUG
rnacentral:rRNA from 1 species